rnacentral:rRNA from 1 species
GACGAACGCUGGCGGCGUGCCUAAUACAUGCAAGUCGAGCGGAUGAUGAAGAAGCUUGCUUCUUCUGAUUUAGCGGCGGACGGGUGAGUAACACGUGGGCAACCUGCCCUGUAGAUUGGGAUAACUCCGGGAAACCGGGGCUAAUACCGAAUAAUCCAUUUCCUCACAUGGGGAAAUGUUAAAAGACGGUCUCGGCUGUCACUACAGGAUGGGCCCGCGGCGCAUUAGCUAGUUGGUGAGGUAACGGCUCACCAAGGCGACGAUGCGUAGCCGACCUGAGAGGGUGAUCGGCCACACUGGGACUGAGACACGGCCCAGACUCCUACGGGAGGCAGCAGUAGGGAAUCUUCCACAAUGGACGAAAGUCUGAUGGAGCAACGCCGCGUGAGUGAAGAAGGUUUUCGGAUCGUAAAACUCUGUUGUGAGGGAAGAACAAGUACGAGAGUAACUGCUCGUACCUUGACGGUACCUCAUUAGAAAGCCACGGCUAACUACGUGCCAGCCGCCGCAGUAAGAC